rnacentral:rRNA from 1 species
AUACGGAGGGUGCAAGCGUUAAUCGGAAUUACUGGGCGUAAAGCGCGCGUAGGCUGUUUGAUAAGUCGGAUGUGAAAUCCCCGGGCUCAACCUGGGAAUUGCAUUCGAUACUGUCAGGCUAGAGGGUGGUAGAGGGAAGUGGAAUUUCCGGUGUAGCGGUGAAAUGCGUAGAUAUCGGAAGGAACACCAGUGGCGAAGGCGGCUUCCUGGACCAACACUGACGCUGAGGUGCGAAAGCGUGGGGAGCAAACAGGAUUAGAAACCCUAGUAGUCC